rnacentral:rRNA from 1 species
CACACGACCGUACCGCAAACCGACACUGGUGCGCGAGAUGAGUAUUCUAAGGCGCUUGAGAGAACUCAGGAGAAGGAACUCGGCAAAUUGACACCGUAACUUCGGAAGAAGGUGUGCCUUUAGUAGGUGAAGUCCCUCGCGGAUGGAGCCCAAUGAGGUUGCAAAGAAUCGGUGGCUGCGACUGUUUAUUAAAAACACAGCACUCUGCAAACACGAAAGUGGACGUAUAGGGUGUGACGCCUGCCCGGUGCUGGAAGAUUAAAUGAUGGGGUGCAAGCUCUUGAUUGAAGUCCCAGUAAACGGCGGCCGUAACAAUAACGGUCCUAAGGUAGCGAAAUUCCUUGUCGGGUAAGUUCCGACCUGCACGAAUGGCGUAACGAUGGCCACACUGUCUCCUCCUGAGACUCAGCGAAGUUGAAAUGUUUGUGAUGAUGCAAUCUCCCCGCGGAAAGACGGAAAGACCCCAUGAACCUUUACUGUAGCUUUGUAUUGGACUUUGAACAGAUCUGUGUAGGAUAGGUGGGAGGCUUUGAAGCAGGGUCGCUAGAUCUUGUGGAGCCAACGUUGAAAUACCACCCUGGUGUGUUUGAGGUUCUAACCUAGGCCCGUAAUCCGGGUUGGGGACAGUGCAUGGUAGGCAGUUUGACUGGGGCGGUCUCCUCCCAAAGUGUAACGGAGGAGUUCGAAGGUACGCUAGUUACGGUCGGACAUCGUGACGAUAGUCAAUGGCAUAAGCGUGCUUAACUGCGAGACUGACAAGUCGAGCAGAUGCGAAAGCAGGACAUAGUGAUCCGGUGGUUCUGUAUGGAAGGGCCAUCGCUCAACGGAUAAAAGGUACUCUGGGGAUAACAGGCUGAUACCGCCCAAGAGUUCAUAUCGACGGCGGUGUUUGGCACCUCGAUGUCGGCUCAUCUCAUCCUCGGGCUGUAGCCGGUCCCAAGGGUAUGGCUGUUCGCCAUUUAAAGAGGUACGUGAGCUGGGUUUAAAACGUCGUGAGACAGUUUGGUCCCUAUCUUCCGUGGGCGCUGCAGAUUUGAGGAAGCCUGCUCCUAGUACGAGAGGACCGGAGUGGACGCACCUCUGGUGUAUCGGUUGUCACGCCAGUGGCAUUGCCGAGUAGCUAUGUGCGGAAGAGAUAACCGCUGAAAGCAUCUAAGCGGGAAACUCGUUUCAAGAUGAGAUCUGCCGGGGCCUUGAGCCCCCUGAAGAGUCGUUCAAGACCAGGACGUUGAUAGGUCGGGUGUGGAAGCGCAGUAAUGCGUUAAGCUAACCGAUACUAAUUGCUCGUGCGGCUUGACCCU